rnacentral:lncRNA from 1 species
AAAAAAAAACUCUGUUGGAACUUAAGGCUCAGUCAAAUAAUCAAUAUGCCUAGUUUGGUUGGAAUAGUAUGCGAAAGUCAUACACUUUUAAAUUUCUGCUAUUUCAAUAAAAUUGCAGUUGAUGUGUUCCGUCACUUGUCUGCAAAAUGACCAUUUUAAUUUGCUUGAAUUUGCUCUGAUUUUCAGGUGGUCUCUGAGGUAACAUAACUACUGUUCGGAUUUGCAGGUGCUCCCCAAAGUAGUGUUGCUACUACUGGGAUUUGCAGGUCCUCCUUGAGCCAGUGGCUACAUGUGAAAGUGAUUCAGCACGCUAGUUGGAAAAACAGGACUGCACAAAGAGUGUGGGGGCCAAACCAUUUGCUGCCCACUGCUGAGAACAGGGAACCCACAGUCAGCAGGACUGAUGUAAAAGACUUAGAGAGCUAUAGGCAGAAAUUUACAUCUCUAUCCUCUUGUGAACAGCGUCCAACAGCCACCUAUGCCAUGGAAGGAGUAGGACAUACAGAGUAGGGGAGAGGACCAUCGGCCUAAAGAAUGCUAACAUCCACAUUGGAUUGAGGCUCUCAGACAUUAAUUAACCAUGGGGAUGAUUCUUCACAGACAUGCCCACAGACCAAUCUGAUACAGAUUGUUCAAUGGAGAAUCUUUUCAGCUGCGUACCUAUCAUCCAGUAAAGAAAUGAACAGCCUGUUUCUUCGUUGCGGAUCAUUGCAUUUGGUUCCAAUAAUUAUUGGAUGAGGGCUUUAAGAUGAUAGUUGAGACAUUCAUCAAUCUGAUUAUAAGUGGAGGCCAGGCAUCCCCUCUACUAUUACUAGGAGUCUUAGACCAAGCUCUGGAAUCCAGUUGAAGAGAAGAGGGAAGGAAUAUAUGAGCAAGAGAGGUCAAGAUCAUGAUGAAGAAAUCUACAGAGAUACCUGAUCCAAGCUCACGGAAACUCAUGAACUCUAGACCUACAACUGUGGAAACUUUAGGGCAUUGAACUAGGCCUUCCAUAUGUGGGAGUCAGUUGUGAAGCUUGGACUAUCAGAGGGGUCCCUGACAGUAGAACUAUGAUACAAACCCGGUACAUGAGCUAGCUUGUUGGAGCCCAUUCCCUAGGGUGGGAUGCCAUGCUCAGCCCUUAUAGCAUGGGAGAGGGGCCUGACUCUGCCCCAACCUAUUGUGCCAGACUAUGUUGACUCCUCAUGUCCUCAUGUGAGUCCUUACCUGUGAGAAGGAGUGGACUGAGGGUGGUCUAUGGAGG